UACGUAGGUGACAAGCGUUGUCCGGAAUUAUUGGGCGUAAAGGGAGCGCAGGCGGUUGGAAUAGUCUGAUGUGAAAGCCCACGGCUUAACCGUGGAAUUGCAUUGGAAACUGUCCAACUUGAAUGCAGAAGAGGAAAGCGGAAUUCCAUGUGUAGCGGUGAAAUGCGUAGAUAUAUGGAGGAACACCAGUGGCGAAGGCGGCUUUCUGGUCUGUGAUUGACGCUGAGGCUCGAAAGCGUGGGGAGCGAACA
rnacentral:rRNA from 1 species